rnacentral:rRNA from 1 species
UACGUAGGGGGCUAGCGUUGUCCGGAAUCAUUGGGCGUAAAGAGCGCGUAGGCGGCCAGACAAGUCCGGUGUGAAAGUCACAGGCUCAACCUGUGAAUGCCGCUGGAAACUGUCUGGCUAGAGUCCGGAAGGGGCGAGUGGAAUUCCUGGUGUAGCGGUGAAAUGCGUAGAUAUUGGGAGGAACACCAGUGGCGAAGGCGGCUCACUGGACCGGUACUGACGCUGAUGCGCGAAAGCGUGGGGAGCAAACGGG